CAUAAGUUUUGAGCAUUUACUAAUUAUUAAAUUAUUUACUCUGGAGAGCCGAAACUGUUACUGAUACGGUCCCCCGUGCGUUAAAAAGAGCUGCUCCAGUCUGAUGGCUUCCAAUACCAUCUGUUUACCUGAAGACUCCUGACUUGGUAACUCUAGUCUGACACUGGGAUGCAAACAGUGUUAAACUCCAGACCUGUAUAUAUCCAAUUGUUUACUCAGCUGCCAUUAGCAUGUGUGCUGGACAUCCUGAAGCUAACCUGCACCACAGAGGAAUUGCUGACAUUCACCCAACCUGUUCCUUCAACAGUCUUCUUCCCAACAAUUGAUGGCAACUCCUUCUUUCUAGUUGCUCAGGCCAUAAAUCUGUCUUUGUGUCUUUUUUCACCCCAAAUCCAAACCCAAUCCAACUCUGAAUUCUGGUGUCUCUGUCUUCAAAUAUAUCCUGAACUGAACUGC